rnacentral:lncRNA from 1 species
CAAACAGCUACCAACUCAGGACCAAGUGUCCAUGCAUGGGGACAUUUCUCAUUCAAAAAAUACGCAUUGCCCUUUCUCUGUGCCCAUCUAGCAAGUUGUUAACUGCAGAGAUGUCUGUCCUUCUUUCUGUAGAGUGCUUUACAUGUGUGAAAGAUGAAAGCUCUUGAGAGAGAAAACAUGACAAGUCCCUGAAAGAGCACUUUGGUCACUCGAGAUGAGACUAGUAGUCAAGCCCCAUGCAGGAAUUAGUCAGAGUCCCAGGAGUCUACACCACAUCCCGCCAGAGCACUCUGCACUGUCUCUGUAUUCCAGGAACGUGGUGUCUGAUCCAGAGGAGCCUGCUAGUCUUCAGUGCUUUUCAUGCUGAAUGUCUUCUUAAAAAACCAGGCAAAUUGUCUUCCCAACAGUUUUACAUAUUUAGCACUUUGGAAAAAGGAAACGUAUAUGAUGUAAAGAAAAACCAUCACUGUAUGAAGUGUGUGGAGGAGAUGCGGGUAGGCAUGUAAGGUUACCAGUGCCACUGAGACGGUGGCUCAGGCCCACUUGUGCUCACGGGCACCUCUGGCAGAUGUGGUAUGUAAGGCCAGGAGAAGAAAAACUAGAGUGCGGGUGGUGGAACAAGAAGAGAAGGAAAGGUACAGGCAUAAUAAUAAUAAAAAAAAAAAAAAAAAAA